GUUGUCUUUCUUCUAUUCUGUAGUAUUCAAGGGCCAACCUUUUCGCCUAUCUCUAUAAAUUAUUCAUCUUUUGGGAUCGAUUGGGAUUUUUUUUGCAAGCGUGAAAUCCUUCUGGUACUUGUCCGUGGGUUUGAUUUGUACCUGAAGGGUUUGUUUUGUUUGAAUCUUAUAUAUCUGGUUGUGGAAAUUGAGUCGUUUUCUUAGAGUUUAUUGCCAUUUUUUGAUUUAUUUAUUUUUUGGAAAAAAGAAAAAUGAAAAGGAAGUGGUUGGUGACGAGGUACUUGGGAUUUUGAAGAUUGUUUUUGAACUGGGAAUAUAAAGGAAGGGAAGCUGCUAUCGAUUUUUCUCUUUGGCGCAUCAUUAUCAAUACUGGAGGCAAUUUGGUGGUUGUGAUUGGUUUCAAUUGGAUCAUAUUUUUCUGUUUGUUUGUUGAAUUUAAGGAUACCUUUGUUGGUUAAAUCGAUUUGUUAACCCGAAAGGCUUUUCGAACUUAUCUGUUUUGAGCAUUUGUCAUUGAUGGGAUUCAUCCGAAUCUGGCAAAGAUGAUGAUGAGAUGACGACGAAAAUUUGAAGCUUUGUUGAUCAUGUCUCUCUAUGACAGCAGUUUGACACGGAUUUGUUUUUGGGAUUUGCUUGUUUUCUUUUGAUUGUUUUUGGUUGUUUCGAUUACUAUUUGGUAGUUGGUGUUCUGUGUUUCGGUUGUUCUGCAUUGAUUGUUAGCAAUGGAUUCAAGGACAAGUGAGAAUGUUGAAGUUGCGGAUGUACCAAACAUGGUGGAUCACUUGAAAGGUAAUAUGAAGUCAAAACUUAGAAGUGCAGGGAGUGUGAGUUUCAAAGAGGUGGAACCAAAUAUUACGGGCACAGGAAGUAUUAGUAACAAAGAGAUGAUCUUCCGAGCGGAUAAAAUCGAUUUGAAGAACUUAGAUAUACAGCUUGAGAAGCAUUUGAGCCGGGUUUGGUCCAAAAACAUUGAGAGAACCAGGCCUAAGGAAGAAUGGGAGAUUGAUUUAGCUAAAUUGGAAAUAAGAUACAUUGUAGCUCGGGGGACCUAUGGUACCAUAUUCAGGGGUACCUAUGAUGAUCAAGAUGUUGCAGUGAAGCUGUUGGACUGGGGGGAGGAUGGCUAUGCCACAGUUGCUGAAACUGCUGCUCUGCGGGCAUCGUUUCAAAAAGAAGUUGCUGUUUGGCACAAGCUUGACCAUCCUAAUGUUACAAAGUUCAUUGGAGCUUCAAUGGGAACUUCAGAUCUUAAGAUUCCUACAAAAGGCUCUUCAAGUGACGGUGUAAUUUCACAUCCUGCUAGAGCAUGUUGUGUUAUUGUGGAGUAUGUCGCUGGUGGGACACUAAAGCAGUACUUGAUAAGAAAUAGGCAUAAGAAACUUGCCUUUAAGGUUGUGGUCCAACUUGCUUUGGACCUUUCUAGAGGUCUUAGCUAUCUGCAUUCUCAGAAGAUUGUACACCGUGAUGUCAAAACAGAGAAUAUGCUACUUGAUACUCGCAUAAACCUUAAAAUAGCUGAUUUUGGUGUUGCUCGUGUUGAAGCUCAGAAUCCAAGGGACAUGACUGGUGAAACUGGUACCCUUGGAUACAUGGCUCCAGAGGUUCUGGAUGGUAAGCCUUACAAUAGAAGAUGUGAUGUCUAUAGCUUUGGCAUAUGUCUAUGGGAAAUUUAUUGCUGUGACAUGCCCUACCCGGAUCUGAGCUUUGCUGAUGUAUCAUCUGCGGUUGUUCGGCAGAAUCUACGGCCAGAAAUCCCCAAAUGUUGUCCAAGUUCUUUGGCAAACAUCAUGCGCAUGUGCUGGGAUGGAAAUGCAGAUAAACGUCCUGAAAUGGGUGAGGUGGUGAAUAUGUUGGAAGCAAUUGAUACGAGCAAAGGAGGUGGAAUGAUACCUGAAGACCGUUCUCCGGGCUGUUUUUGUUUUGCUCCCACUCGCGGUCCAUGAGCUUUUACCCUUUAUUUGUAGCAACCACCAAAGAAAAUUGAUCGGGCUGUUUUCUUGCCAAAAUAAGAUAAAAACAGAAAGAGUGAGCGGAUUCAUUAUAGAACCUGGGUGGUCACCGGACCACCCAAAAGCCCGGAGAGUGGCUAUGAGGAUCUUGGAGGACCGCCCAAGUCUAGUCUGAGGUGGAGGAGAAGAGCAGCAGCUGCUGUAGGAAGUUCUGCAAGCAGUUUUUUGAGUCAUUGUUUUGAUUCCAGAUAAGUUUGGAGCUGCCUUUGCACCUGUGAAAUCUGGUGUUGGUAACAACAUGUCGGUAUCGAAAAAUUAGGGAAAGGAUGUUUGUUUGUUUUUUCGUUUUUGGAAAUUGCAAUUUUUAUUUAAUUAUAAGUUAAAAAAAUAAUAAUAAAAUAUGAGGGGUGAAGCAGUACCUACUGGGACGCCUUUUUUUUUUUUUUUGUUUUUCCGAUGAACCACCUUCUGAGA